AUGUGAUAUUUGAUGAAGAUGCUGGAUUUCUAAAUGCAAUCAAGACAUUCAUGGCAACAACCAAGAGGCCUGUGAUUCUUACUACAAGUGAUCCAACAUUUAGUUUAACAUUUGAUGGAUGCUUUGAGGAAAUCAACUUCAAAACUCCCUCCUUGCUCAAUGUUGCCAGCUAUCUACAGACACUCUGUUUGGCCGAAAAUUUAAGAACAGACAUAAAAGACUUUAUCACCUUGCUGACUGUUAAUAAUUGUGAUAUCAGAAGAAGCAUUCUUUACUUACAAUUCUGGGUUAGAAGUGGAGGUGGAUUCUUAAAAGAAAAACCAUUAUCACUUCAUGGUGGGUUGAUCUGUUUAAAAAGAUGUGUCCAACUGUAAGUAUGGACAUUAUAAGCAGUUGAUAAUAUAGUCAAUUUCAGCCAUCAUUUAUCACUUUUUAUCAUCUAAGACAAACUGAAUCAGUAACCAUUUAUUAAGUACCUACUAUGUGCAAAGUACCAGGCUAGAUAUAUCCCCCUGGCAUAGUAGAGAUGUUACUGAAAAGUUACAUUUAAGUUGAUUUUUUAAAAAAUGAAAUCUUUUUGUUUCUCCUUCCUCUCACUUGCUACCGUUAAUGUUGUUACAGUGAUGCUUUUUGCAUUUCUCACUGAUAUUUA